rnacentral:rRNA from 1 species
UACGUAGGGUGCGAGCGUUGUCCGGAAUUAUUGGGCGUAAAGGGCUCGUAGGCGGUUUGUCGCGUCGGGAGUGAAAACGCCGGGCUUAACUCGGUGCUUGCUUUCGAUACGGACAGACUAGAGGCAUGCAGGGGAGAACGGAAUUCCUGGUGUAGCGGUGAAAUGCGCAGAUAUACAGGAGGAACACCAGUGGCGAAGGCGCCGCUCUGGGCCGUGACUGACGCUGAGGAGCGAAAGCGUGGGUAGCAAACAGG